CGGAUCGAUGAUGACUCCCUCAUUCUGCAUUCCUUGGAAAAGCUGAACAAAAUGAGUGAGAACUCCCUACCAUCGUUCUCAUCGAAACUGAGGUCCGGCACGUUGUCUCCCCCAGGGCAGGGUCCCGGAGUGAUGCAUUAGCAAUGGCUCGCCGGCCAGCCGGGUCUGCAUCAGCUGGCUUAGCCGAUCUUGGCCCUGGAGAUCUUCCUUUCUUCAAGCCGGUAACGAGUACUUGCAAUCAGAGGUCUUUCACUCGGGGGUACCAGGUGGAGUUGGCUUGACGCUGGUGUCUGUGAACAUCUGCAAGCCCCAUUCUGCCUGAUCCGCCAAGCCCUGCGUGCCAGGCGAGAGCACCCCGGGAGACAUGGACCUUGUUGGCUGCGGUCACGUGGCAGUCGCCAGCGUAAGCGGUUAGCUGCUCUUCUCUGCCACAACCAACAGGGGUCCACCCGGCUUCCUCCUUGGACAAGGAUGGCUCCCCUCGCCGCCCGGUGGCUUGGCCCUGGAUUCUCACGAGGGCGGACUUGUGUGAAUUCACUGGCCGUCCCAGGCUGGAGCCCGGCACUUUUUUUUU